UACGAGAGGCCCAAACGUUAUUCGGAUUUACUGGGCUUAAAGAGUUCGUAGGCGGCGCGGAAAGUAGGGUGUGAAAGCCCUCGGCUCAACCGAGGAAUUGCGCUCUAAACUGCCGCGCUCGAGGAACCUAGAGGUGAGCAGAACUGAUGGUGGAGCGGUGAAAUGCGUUGAUAUCGAGAGGAACACCUGCGGCGAAGGCGGGUUGCUGGGCUGACACUGACGCUGAACUGCGAAAGCUAGGGGAGCGAACGGG
rnacentral:rRNA from 1 species